rnacentral:rRNA from 1 species
AUUGAACGCUGGCGGCAUGCUUUACACAUGCAAGUCGAACGGUAACAGGCCGCAAGGUGCUGACGAGUGGCGAACGGGUGAGUAAUGCAUCGGAACGCGCCCAGUCGUGGGGGAUAACGCAGCGAAAGCUGCGCUAAUACCGCAUACGAUCUCUGGAUGAAAGCGGGGGACCGAAAGGCCUCGCGCGAUUGGAGCGGCCGAUGUCAGAUUAGGUAGUUGGUGGGGUAAAGGCCCACCAAGCCAACGAUCUGUAGCUGGUCUGUGAGGACGACCAGCCACACUGGGACUGAGACACGGCCCAGACUCCUACGGGAGGCAGCAGUGGGGAAUUUUGGACAAUGGGCGCAAGCCUGAUCCAGCAAUGCCGCGUGCAGGAAGAAGGCCUUCGGGUUGUAAACUGCUUUUGUACGGAACGAAACGGUCCGGGUUAAUACCCUGGGCUAAUGACGGUACCGUAAGAAUAAGCACCGGCUAACUACGUGCCAGCCGCCGCAGUAAGAC